rnacentral:rRNA from 1 species
UACGAAGGGGGCUAGCGUUGCUCGGAAUCACUGGGCGUAAAGCGCACGCAAGCGGCUUCUUAAGUCAGGGGGGAAAUCCUGGGGCUCAACCCCAGAACUGCCCUUGAUACUGAGGAGCUUGAGUCCGGGAGAGGUGAGUGGAACUCCGAGUGUAGAGGUGAAAUUCGUAGAUAUUCGGAAGAACACCAGUGGCGAAGGCGGCUCACUGGCCCGGUACUGACGCUGAGGUGCGAAAGCGUGGAGAGCAAACAGG